CAGUGAGCUAGACUUCGUCUUCUUCGUCUUCUUCGUCCCACAAAUCCCAAAUCGUGACUUCGAAAUCCCAAAUCAUGGCAUAAAACUCUUUGAAAUCCCUAAAUCCCAAAUCACAGCAAACACAUAAAAUUCUUCUCUUUGAAACCCUAAAUCCCUAAAAAUUGGGUACAGCGGCGGCUAGAUUAGGAAGGUUGGAAAUAAAAAUUUCAUUCUCCCUCCCUCUUAUUCUUUGUCACGAACCUAUUAGCUCUCAUUCUCUGAUGCUCAUCAUCAUCGCAUCACUUCAUCACCACCGCACGACCCCUUGUUAUCAAAAAAGAAUGGGCAAGAACAAGCUUCGGUACUUCUCUUCUCUGCUUGCUCGACCCCUUGUUUUCAAUUUCUGGUGGGUGUUUUCAAUUUCAGGUGAUGAAACUUGCUCAACCCCUUGUUUUCAAUUUCAGGUGAUGAAAUUUUGAUAUGAAUUGGCACAAAUUUCUAUAAUUUUUCUAGGUUUUAGGUUUUUCGAAAUUUUUUAUUUGUUUCUUUGAUUGAUUGAAUAAAUAUACGAGAAUAUUUAUUUCUUAUUACUUUCAAGAAUAUGCAGUUGCUGGUUGAUUUGAAGUUCAAAAUAGGAGAAGAUUUAUUGCUUAUUACUAUAUGGAGCAAUGAUAUAUAUAUUAGUGAUAUAAGAAUGAGGACCUAGUCCUGUAUAGAGCAGAUAUACAUAUCAUGCAAUUUAAUCCAGCUUUUUUGAGAUUUAUCAAGUUGAUGGAAGUUAAGGAUUUAUAGUUUUUUUUAAGGUAUCCAUUUAAAGUAUCUUUGUAUGAGAAUAGUGGUGUUGAUACUGUUAAAUACUUCUACAAAUUUUGACAUUUAUGUGGUCUUCUAACCUUUGGAAAUAGUAUAUAUGCCAAAUAUAUCUAGUGUGUGUGUCAACUUAGUUUGACUUUUCUAUUAUUAUUUUGACCAUUCAGGUACUUUGUCCAAUUGUUUUCUUGUUAUUUAGAUUUGUCCUUUAUGUUCAUCUGUUCUGCAAUUUUGUCAUGCACCAAUUUAUGGUCUGUAUUUUUUAAUUGAAGGAUGUGUUGGAACUAGUGCAAUGGCGACAUCUAGUAAGUUUGAUCCAUCUACCAGUAGCCCAGAUAGACCAUUGUACACUACGCAGCGUGGAUCCAACAUAGCUGCUUCAUUAGAUAGAUCAGGUAGCUUUCGAGAAUGCACCGAAAAUCCAAUUUUGUCUUCUCUGCCCAACAUGUUGAGAAGUAGUUCUCUGCCAAACAUGUUGAGCUUCUUCAAUUAUAUGCAUUUUGAUCAAAAGUUGCUAGUACUAGAUCCAAAAGUCUAAUCGUCACGUGGAUUAUAAGCGACAUGUUAAUGCUGCUCUUGGAAUUUCACCUGAUGAAUCUACAUCUGUUUCUGCAAAAGGAAAGCUACUGCCAUCCCCAGUACCAGAAGAUGUAUAGCGUAUGAGGGAUGGUUUGUAUUCAAGCAUUGUGAAGGCGAGGGAACGUGUGAAAAUGUUCAAUGAGGCCUUAUCUGUAUUCAAUGAAGUUUUCCCAACUGUAAAUAGUGUCAUGUUAAAUGAUCGCUCAGUCUUGGGGCCAAGUAUAUGGGUAAGGUUGGUGUUCAAGGUCAUCCUGUCACUGGAGGUUUUGAACUAGAUCAGCAAAAGUCGGAAGAAAGGACCAAAAGUCUUGGUCCAAACAAGCGCCCUCAAACUUCUAUGGUUGAUUUAAAGGUCACAACAAAGGAUGGAGGUUUGAAGUGGCAGUGAUAUAGCUCAAAUUUCUUGUAGUUAGGGUAUGCCGUGGCAUCAUUUGAAAUUUUGAGUGCCUUGAAUCUUGUGAAAGAAGAGGCCAAUGGAAGGCAGCAUCACAGUCCCGAGAACUUAUUCAAACCAUACAUCAUUAUUACAACAAUACAUAUUUGGAUGGUACUAAAGCAAUUAAUAUGGAGCACUUGAUUGAUUUCUAUACAAGUUCUGGGAACCGAAAACCCGACAACAUUAUCAUUUUCAGGGAUGGUGUCAGUGAGUCCCAGUUUAACCAAGUGCUGAACAUUGAACUGAGCCAAGUCAUUGAGGGCACAAGCAGGCCAACACAUUAUCAUGUUCUUUUGGAUGAGAUUGGCUUUUCCCCAGAUGAUUUACAGGAGCUUGUGCACUCGCUUUCUUAUGUGUAAGUUUAUUGUCGGAUUUCAUUGUUUUGGAGUUAUGUUUUUGGUAUUCUUAUAUAUAUUAUAUAUAUGGAAUCU